GAGUUUGAACCUGGCUCAGGAUGAACGCUGGCGGCGUGCUUAACACAUGCAAGUCGAACGAAGCGAUUGGAAGGAAGUUUUCGGAUGGAAUUCUGAUUGACUGAGUGGCGGACGGGUGAGUAACGCGUGGGUAACCUGCCUCAUACAGGGGGAUAACAGUUAGAAAUGACUGCUAAUACCGCAUAAGCGCACAGGAUUGCAUGAUCCAGUGUGAAAAACUCCGGUGGUAUGAGAUGGACCCGCGUCUGAUUAGCUAGUUGGUGGGGUAACGGCCCACCAAGGCGACGAUCAGUAGCCGACCUGAGAGGGUGACCGGCCACAUUGGGACUGAGACACGGCCCAAACUCCUACGGGAGGCAGCAGUGGGGAAUAUUGCACAAUGGGGGAAACCCUGAUGCAGCAACGCCGCGUGAGUGAAGAAGUAUUUCGGUAUGUAAAGCUCUAUCAGCAGGGAAGAAAAUGACGGUACCUGAGUAAGAAGCCCCGGCUAACUACGUGC
rnacentral:rRNA from 1 species